GUUUGUUUGAAGGUAUAAGGAAUUUAACCUGCCCCCUGACUAGUAGGUUAAAGGGCCGCAGUAUUAUAACUGUGCAAAGGUAGCAUAAUCAUUAGGUUUUUAAUUGAAAUCUUGUAUGAAUGGUUGGACAAGAGAAAAACUCUCUUUAUAUUAAAUUUUGAACUUAACUUUUAAGUGAAAAGGCUUAAAUAUUCUAGAGGGACGAUAAGACCCUAUAAAACUUUACAUUAUAAUUUUAUUUAAUUUAAUUUAUAAAUAAAGGUUUAAUUAUAUUAUUUGUUAUGUUGGGGAGACAUAAGUAAAAUAUUAUUUUAACUGCUUAAUAGAUAAAACAAUUUAUUAAUGUACUGGUAAAGGAUCCUUUCUAAAGAUUAAUAGGUUAAGUUACUUUAGGGAUAACAGCGUAAUUUCUUUUGAGAGUUCUUAUCGAAAAAGAAGGUUGCGACCUCGAUGUUGAAUUAAAAUAUCUGUAUAAUGUAGGAGUUAUAUGAGAAGGUCUGUUCGACCUUAAAAAUUUUACAUGAUUUGAGUUCAAACCGGCGUGAG
rnacentral:rRNA from 1 species